rnacentral:rRNA from 1 species
UACGUAGGGUGCGAGCGUUGUCCGGAAUUACUGGGCGUAAAGAGCUCGUAGGUGGUUUGUCGCGUUGUUCGUGAAAACUCACAACUCAAUUGUGGGCGUGCGGGCGAUACGGGCAGACUGGAGUACUGCAGGGGAGACUGGAAUUCCUGGUGUAGGCGGUGGAAAUGCGCAGAUAUCAGGAGGAACACCGGUGGCGAAGGCGGCAUCCUGGACCAAACACGUGACACUGAGGAGCGAAAGCCAGGGGAGCAAACGGG